rnacentral:lncRNA from 1 species
CUCACCUGUGUUUCAUGUGUGGCUCCCCUGUGGUUCAUGUGUGGUUCAAGCAUCGAACAUGUGUGUUUCAGAUGUGGUUCAAGGGUGUCUCGCAUGUGGUUCAUGCACGGCUCACACAUGGAUUGGGCGUGAUUCAGGCGUGGCUCACACACGACUAGUGUGUGUCCCAGAUGGUAGAGGACACUUUCACACGUGGUUCCAGCCUAGCUCAGCCAUGGCUCACAAGUGAUGCAGGCGUGCCACUGAACUGGCUCACCUGUGGCUGACACAUGAUUCAGGCUUUUGUCACGCAUGGCUCCCACAUGGCUAAGGUGUGGCUCAUGCAUGGCUGAGGUGUUGGUGAGGUGUGGCUCACAUGUGUUUGUCUCAUGGUGGGCAUGUGGGACAGGCAUGGUCGGCACGUUGUGCCAGUGUGGCAACACAUGCUUCAAGUGAGGCUGACCUGUGGUUCAAGUGUGACUGGCACUUGUUUCAGGCCUGGAUGGCAUGUGACUUUGGCACAGCUGAGAAGUGACUCAGGCGUGGCUCACACGUUAUUCAGGCGAGGCUGACACUACACAGUUGAGGUGGCCGAAGGACACUAUAGUGCCUGACACGUCAUGCAGGUGUGGUUCACACAUGGUUCAUGCAUGGACUUCGUGUGGUUCAGGGUUGGCUGGUGCAUGGUCCACGCAUUGGUGGCAGGUGGUUCAGGCGUGGCUGAAAUGUGACUCCGGCAUGUGUGAAACAGGACUCCGGUGUGGCUGACACAUGUGUCAGGCAUGGCUGACACAUGACUCAGGCAUUCAUCGCCCAGUAUCCAUGUGUGACGGAAAUGAGAUCAUGCAGGAGUCACAUGCCGUACAUCGUCGGCUCCCACGUGACUAGAGGUUGCUGAAACAUGGCUCUCAAAUACUCAGUCACAGCCUCCAAGUGGCUCACGCAUGGCUCAGCUGUGUUUCAUGGGUGGCUACCCUGUGGUUUGUGCGUGGUUCAAGCAUGGAACAUGUGUGUUUCCCAGGUUCUUCAGAUGUGGUUCAAGGGUGUCUCCCAUGUGGUUCCUGCAUGGCUCACACAUGGUUCGGGUGUUAUUCAGGCGUGGAUCUCACACGACUCGUCUGGGUCACAUAUGUUUGAGGACACUCUAACCCGUGCUUCAGGGAUAGUUACGCCAUGGCUCACACGUGACUCAGACGUUCCACAGAACUGGCUCCCAUGUGGCUGACACAUGAUACAGGCUUCGGUCAUGCAUGGCUCACACAUG